GACUACUGGGGUAUCUAAUCCUGUUUGCUCCCCACGCUUUCGUAUCUCAGCGUCAGUUACAGUCCAGAAAGUCGCCUUCGCCACUGGUGUUCUUCCUAAUCUCUACGCAUUUCACCGCUACACUAGGAAUUCCACUUUCCUCUCCUGCACUCUAGACACCCAGUAUCAAAUGCAGCUCCCAGGUUAAGCCUGGGGAUUUCACAUCUGACUUAAAUAUCCGCCUACAUACUCUUUACGCCCAGUAAAUCCGGACAACGCUUGCCACCUACGUAUUACCGUGGCUUCUUCCUUUGGUACCGUCAUUAUCGUCCCAAAAGACAGAGCUUUACAAUCCGAAGACCUUCAUCGCUCACGCGGCGUUGCUGCGUCAGGGUUUCCCCCAUUGCGCAAUAUUCCCCACUGCAGCCCCCCGUAGG
rnacentral:rRNA from 1 species